rnacentral:rRNA from 1 species
ACGGCGAGUGAAGCGGCAAAGCUCAAAUUUGGAAUCGCUUUCGGGCGAGUUGUAAUUUGAAGACUGUCUCUUGCGUGAGUGUCUUGUCGAAGUUCCUUGGAACAGGACGUCGCAGAGGGUGAGAAUCCCGUGCGAUGAGACCACGAGCGUGUGUAGAGGCAAGUCGACGAGUCGAGUUGUUUGGGAAUGCAGCUCUAAGUGGGUGGUAAAUUCCAUCUAAAGCUAAAUACAGGCGAGAGACCGAUAGCGAACAAGUACAGUGAUGGAAAGAUGAAAAGAACUUUGAAAAGAGAGUGAAAAAGUACGUGAAAUUGUUGAAAGGGAAGGGCUUGAGAUCAGACUGGGUUAAACCGGCCAGCAUCAGGUGCUGCGGCGAGACAAGACUGUGGGAAAGUGGCCUCGCUUCGGUGAGGUGUUAUAGCCCGCAGAGAUGUCGCCAGCGGCGCCUGAGGACUGCGCG